UAUUCCCUAUUUCAUUGGUGGGUUUUGAAGUAGUAAUUGUAUUCGUUUGAUUUGCAGGGUUGUGCAAACUUAAAAACCUCCAAGAGUUAGAUCUUAGUUGGAACGAGUUCGAAGGAAUACUUCCUUCAUGUGUUGCAAACAUGACAUCUCUUAGAUUAGUUGAACUCUCAUACAAUACAUUCACAGGAAAUAUCGCCUCCUCUCCACUUUCGAAACUCACAUCGAUUGAAUAUCUCUUCCUUUCAAGUAACAACUUUCAAGUUCCAAUUUCUUUCAAGGCAUUCUUUAAUCAUUCAAACUUCAAGUUUUUAUUUUUGGAAAAUAAUGAAAUAAUAGACGACAAUGAGUUGGGAAAUUGGGUUCCCAAUUUUCAACUUGAGGUUUUUAGUAUGUUGAAUUCAAGAGGUCGUCCAUCAUUACCCAACUUUCUUUACUAUCAAUCCAAUUUGAGAACUCUUGAUCUCACAAAUAAUAGCAUAGGACCAAAUUUUCCAACUUGGUUGUUGGAGAACAACACAAGACUUAGGGGACUAUACUUGAGGGAUAAUGCUUUUACAGGACCUCUCAAGUUGCCAACAAGCACCAAUCCCAACAUGAAAAUUUUUAAUGUAGCUAAUAACACGUUCAAUGGACAUGUUUCAACUAAUAUAACUUCAAUUUUUCCAAACUUGUUUGACUUAAGCAUAUCAACAAAUAUGUUUGAUGGUUGUGUACCUUCUAGCUUUGGUGACUUAAAAUCUAUAGAAUUUAUAGACUUGUCCAGCAAUAACUUAUCAGGCACGAUACCGCAAGAAUUAGUAAUGGGAUGCUUUUCUCUGUAUUUUCUCAAAUUAUCGGAUAAUAAAUUGCAAGGACAAAUAUUUCCAGAUUCUAUCAACCUACAAGACUUGAGUAUUUUAUACCUGGACACCAAUGAGUUCUCAGGCACCAUUCCGAAGAGCUUGUCUACCAUCCGUCGUGCGAUAUUAGACGUUAGUAACAACCAUUUGUCGGGCACAAUUCCUACAUCAGUGGGUAAUAUGACAGAAUUGGUUGAAAUUUCUCUGUCUAACAGCUAGCUUGAGGGUCCAAUCCCGAAGGAAAUUUGCAAUCUUGACUCUCUUGAAUUCUUAGAUUUGUCUAAGAACAAGUUAUGUGGUUCAGUCCCAUCUUACUUCACUUCAUCAAAGAUACGUUGUAUUUAUUUGAACAAUAACCAAUUGGAAGGUGAGCUCUCAUAUGCAUUUUAUAAUAGCUCUUCUUUGAUGUCAUUGGAUCUUAGAUGGAAUAAGUUCAUCGGAAAUAUCCCUCAAUGGAUUGGAAAUCUGUCAAGCUUGAGCGUUAUUCUUCUCAGCAAUAACCAUUUUGAAGGCACAAUCCCUCCCCAAUUUUGUAAAAUGGACCAACUAAGAAUGAUAGACCUUUCUUAUAAUUUUCUUUCGGGUUGAAUCCCACACUGCUUAGGUAACUUCACCAUGAAGAAUUCUGGAAGUUUUGAAGGAUCAUUGAUGCCUUCAAGUGCAGUAGUCG
rnacentral:lncRNA from 1 species